AGGAUAUUCCCAGGAGGGCACAACAGGAAGCAAUUAGCUUGCCCUGCCAGGUGAUCGGCACCAUAUCUCCAUAGCCCACCGUGCAGAGUGUGAUCUGAAAUCGAAAGUAUGGGCUAGUACUGGGAUUAUUGGAUGGGACCAGGAAUGAUGCAAAGAUUAGACCUAAGAACCCUAUGUACAUGGUUGUGAUCAGCUCCUGCAAGUCAAAAUAUAUAUUUAGGUAAUUGAAGUGCACUUGUCAUCCCGAUAACGAUAAAGAAGUGAUCUUAUUGAUAUACGUUCAAGGUGCAAACUUGGAAAGUUGGCUUACCUGUCUAUGUGCGUAUACAACCGAACCGAGCAG